rnacentral:lncRNA from 1 species
GCCUACUCAAGGUUCAUUGGCCACGCCCCCAGACUUAGCUGGCCACGCCUCCAAGAUUGUAGGCCACGCCCCCCCGAAGGGCAUACGGCCACGCCCCCAGGCUCGGUUGGCCCCGCCCACUCAAGGUUCAUUGGCCACGCCCCCAGACUUAACUGGCCACGCCUCCAAGAGUGUAGGCCACGCCCCCCAAAGACCCCAUUACCACCCCAUAGGGCCCCAUAGAGCCCCAAAGCCACCCCAUAGAGCGCCAUAGUCCCAUUGAGCCCCAUAGGGCCCCCAUACAGCCUCAUAACCACCCCAUAGAGCCACAUAGCCACUCCAUAG